rnacentral:rRNA from 1 species
CUCUAACACCAUACCACUCUGAAUACAAUUGAUUGUGUCUGAUUUUGGAAGCUAAGCAGGGUUGAGCCUGGGUCAUGCCAACUAUCUCUAGACAGGGCUAGGAA